rnacentral:lncRNA from 1 species
CAGUGUGACAGCAUAUUUUCCUUAACAGAUCUGGCCAGCCACGGAUAGCAUAUAUUAACUCCAUGUCAAGGAAGUGUUCAGUGAUGGAUGAAGAAGAUGAAGCAGUGCUAAACUUAAUUACAAAAUGUGAAUGGGACUUGAGCAAACCUCUUGGAAUAACAGGAUCUGCUAAAAAGGACCCUGAAGUAGAAUUUCACAGCUUACAAAGUAUUCGCAAUAUUGAAGAUAAUGUUGGCAUUACUAUGAAUAGGAAAUCCGAAACCAGACCCAUCAGCCUACAAAUGCGGAAGCAACAAGCAAAUAUGCCUGUGGAUGUUAGUUCAGAAAACAGAAAUGCGUUGAAAGUUCAGGAAACUGACGAAGAGUUCAGAAGUUUGCCUGAUUGUUCACCAACUCUGCCUGUUGUACAUAAUACCAUUAAGCAAGGGAAUGAGAAAAGGAAAAAUAGCACCAAAGUUACAUUUUCAGACAAUAAGAGUCAAGAUCUUCCUAAGAGAGAUCCUAAUCUGAAAUUUCAAGAUGAAGCUGAAUCUUAUAAAAAAAUUACAACCCAUGCCAAUUUCACACCCCAUCCAGACUCUCAAGAAAUUUCUUCUCCAGUCCUCUCUUCUCCAAAGAUGCAUGCACAGGCUCAGAAGAUUUUUAAUACAUUAUCAGCAUCUAGAUUACUUUGCAAUAGAACAUCACAUAAUGGAGGAAGCCAACCAGUUCAGACCCAGACUUACUCUGCAGCUUUACAGAAAAAUAAUGGCCAACCUAAUGUUAGUUUGAAUGUGUCUAAACAAGAAACAAUGCAAGAGAGUGAC